UUUUUCCUAGCCACCGUGCUUUUACACCUGCAUUGUUUGCUGUUUGGGGUUUUAGGCUGGGUUUCUGUACAGCACUUUGAGAUAUCAGCUGAUGUACGAAGGGCUAUAUAAAUAAAUUUGAUUUGAUUUGAUUUGAUAUGUGAUAAUACUGGUCAUUGACUACAGUUCAGCGUUCAACACCAUAGUGCCCACAAAGCUCAUCACUAAGAUAAGGACCCUGGGACUAAACACCUCCCUCUGCAACUGGAUCCUGGACUUCACCCACAACUGCAUGGCCAAGCACUACUCCAACACCAUCCUUAAGUUUGCUGACAACACAAGUGGUAGGCCUGAUCACAGACAAUGAGACCUGGUCGUGCGGUGCCAGGACAACAAUCGCUCCCUCAAUGUGAGCAAGACAAAAAAGGAGCUGAUCGUGGACUACUGGAAAACAUUAACGUCAAAGGGGCUGAAGUGGAGCGGGUCGAGAGUUUCAAGUUCCUUGGUGUCCACAUCACCAACAAACUAUCAUGGUCCAAACACAAGAAGACAGUUGUGAAGAGGCCACGACAAUACCUUUUCCCCCCCUCAGGAGACUGAAAAGAUUUGGCAUGGGUCAUCAGACCCUCAAAUUUCUACAGCUGCACCAUCGAGAGCAUCCUGACUGGUUGCAUCACCACCUGGUACGGCAACCGCUCGGCAUCCGACCGUAAGGCGCUACAGAGGGUAGUGUGUACGGCCCACUACUUCACUGGGGCCAAGCUUCCUGCCAUCCAGGACCUCUAUACCAGGCGGUGUCAGAGGACGGCCCCAAAAAAUGGACAAAGACUCCAGUUACCCAAGACAUACACUGUUCUCUCUGCUACAGCACAGCAAGCGGUACCGGAGCGCCACGUCUAGGACCAAAAGGCUCCUGAACAACCAAGCCAUAAGACUGCUGAACAAUUAAUCAAAUGGCCACCGGGCUAUUUAGAAAUUGCUGCUACUCGCUGUUUAUUAUCGUCACUUUACAAAUUAGUGAUGAGCUUUGAGGGAACUAUGGUGUUGAACACUGAGCUGUAGUCAAUGAUUAUCUAUGCAUGAUGAUUAUCAAUGCAUUAUCACACAGGUGUUCCUUUUGUUACUGUUAUGUCAUUUUCUUGAUACUUCGAUUUUAUUUUAUUUUAUACUUUAGUUUAUUUAGUAAAUAUUUUCUUAACUCUAUUUCUUGAACUGCAUUGUUGGUUAAGGGCUUGUAAGUCAGCAUUUCACAGUAAGGUCUACACCGGUUGGUUAAGGGCUUGUAAGUCAGCAUUUCACUGUAAGGUCUACACCUGUUGGUUAAGGGCUUGUAAGUCAACAUUUCACUGUAAGGUCUACACCUGUUGGUUAAGGGCUUGUAAGUCAACAUUUCACAGUAAGGUCUACACCUGUUGGUUAAGGGCUUGUAAGUCAGCAUUUCACUGUAAGGUCUACACCUGUUGGUUAAGGGCUUGUAAGUCAACAUUUCACAGUAAGGUCUACACCUGUUGGUUAAGGGCUUGUAAGUCAACAUUUCACAGUAAGGUCUACACCUGUUGGUUAAGGGCUUGUAAGUCAACAUUUCACAGUAAGGUCUACACCUGUUGGUUAAGGGCUUGUAAGUCAACAUUUCACAGUAAGGUCUACACCUGUUGGUUAAGGGCUUGUAAGUCAACAUUUCACUGUAAGGUCUACACCUGUUGGUUAAGGGCUUGUAAGUCAACAUUUCACAGUAAGGUCUACACCUGUUGGUUAAGGGCUUGUAAGUCAACAUUUCACAGUAAGGUCUACACCUGUUGGUUAAGGGCUUGUAAGUCAACAUUUCACAGUAAGGUCUACACCUGUUGGUUAAGGGCUUGUAAGUCAACAUUUCACAGUAAGGUCUACACCUGUUGGUUAAGGGCUUGUAAGUCAACAUUUCACUGUAAGGUCUACACCUGUUGGUUAAGGGCUUGUAAGUCAACAUUUCACAGUAAGGUCUACACCUGUUGGUUAAGGGCUUGUAAGUCAACAUUUCACAGUAAGGUCUACACCUGUUGGUUAAGGGCUUGUAAGUCAACAUUUCACAGUAAGGUCUACACCUGUUGGUUAAGGGCUUGUAAGUCAACAUUUCACUGUAAGGUCUACACCUGUUGGUUAAGGGCUUGUAAGUCAACAUUUCACUGUAAGGUCUACACCUGUUGGUUAAGGGCUUGUAAGUCAACAUUUCACUGUAAGGUCUACACCUGUUGGUUAAGGGCUUGUAAGUCAACAUUUCACUGUAAGGUCUACACCUGUUGGUUAAGGGCUUGUAAGUCAACAUUUCACUGUAAGGUCUACACCUGUUGGUUAAGGGCUUGUAAGUCAACAUUUCACUGUAAGGUCUACACCUGUUGGUUAAGGGCUUGUAAGUCAACAUUUCACUGUAAGGUCUACACCUGUUGGUUAAGGGCUUGUAAGUCAACAUUUCACUGUAAGGUCUACACCUGUUGGUUAAGGGCUUGUAAGUCAACAUUUCACAGUAAGGUCUACACCGGUUGGUUAAGGGCUUGUAAGUCAACAUUUCACUGUA